AGCUUUGCGCAGUGGCAGUAUCGUAGCCAAUGAGGUUUAUCCAAGGCGCGAUUAUUGCUAAUUGAAACGUGGACUUGCAGGACAAAAAGCCUGUGACGUGCUUAUUUCAGAUGACACAUAGUACAGACUUGUG
rnacentral:snRNA from 1 species